GUGACGAGGGCUGAAGGGAGUGGAGAGCAGGCUGCACAGGGCCUGGGGAAGAGCCCUGGGGAAAACGGCUCCUCUCCUUUGCUGGCCCAGCCCUUUGUCCUUUGCAAGCAAAAUGGUGGAAAUCCACUCAGGGAUGUAGCGGUUUUGGCGGGAAGGUGACAAACUUGCUGUCCAUUCAGCGGCUUUGGCGGGAAGGUGACAAAGUUGCUGUCCAUUCAGUGGCUUUUGAAUUUUCAGUGCACCAGGAGCGCACGUUGAUCUGUGAGAACCGUGAGAACCUUCUGUGGCUGAUAAACAAAUGAAGAAUAUCUGGGCCUGACAGCAUUAAAAAAAAGACAGAAGAGAGGCAUCUGACACUGCUGCUCGAUUCUCAGUGCUAGCAUGAAAACGCCUGGUGAAGUACCUGAGAUGUUUCUUCAUCCAGUAUGCCACAGUUUUUUAUCUGAAUGAUGAAACUGCCACCUAAGGGCAAGAGAGCUUGUUGAGGCAGGAGCUUGAGAUGGGGAACCUGCUAACCAAGAUAAGGCAGUCUCCACAGGUGCCAGUCCCACCAUGUUCAGGUCAACGUGAAGCACCUGCACUGUGUUGAAGGCCGUCCUCACUCAGAUAGUACUGGCAAGUUUUAAAGCAUGUGUACGAUGUGUCAAGGAUCUUAUGAAGAUAAACAAACUACAGGAAAACCAUCUCCAAACCAACCAAAUUAUUCCUCUUACAAAAGUGGUAAAGAGAGAAGAGGAUUGCAGUUGUCAUCCAACUAAAAAUGCCUAAAAGCACUCAGAUGCAGUCAUAUGCUGGAUAUGAUCUGUAUUUACAUGGAUAGUUUCAAAGUGCCAGCCAGGAGUGAAAAGGCCUUAGCCCAUCAAAUGAAGAUGUCCUUGCCUGUACAGAAAAUAUGGGAUGCUAAAAGCUUUCCUGAAAAGUCAUUGAUGACAGUUCAAAGAAAAAAUACACAGAUGCUGUAAGCAGUAAAAUGCCCUCUGCUGUGCAGGAGACACUAAAAUAAACAUUCAGCCAGAAGUGACAAUGGCUCCUUUAAAAGGUGAGCAUAGUUUUAUAUUCCCUCUUGGAGACCUAAAUAGCAACCAUUUCCUACCAAAACAGCACACGAAACAAAGGCCCCAUUCAGAGGAGUAGUCAGAGUGGGCAAUGCUCUAUAGCCCUUUGUAUCCUGGAACAACACGGUUACUGAAGUGCCUCUAAAAGGCAGGGACAGGAGACUGUGUUGUUUCUGGCAUCAGCUCGAUCAACCGUCAGCUAGAGGAGAGGGUGUUACAACUGAUCUCCUCGGGAUGGACAAAUUCCCAGAAAGAGGAAGUAACCUGGGAGGUUUAGGAAAAGAUGAGAAAGGUUGUUUUCCCUUUCCUGGUCUCCUGCAGGUUGAAAGGAAAUGAGACACAUCCCAGAUCAAAUCCUGCCCAGAAUGAACAACUUGACUGCGUUAUCCUGGACACUUUAUCCCAAAACAAUCCACACUGGAGAAUGCAGUUGGUGGUGGUGGCCUCACGUGGCAUAGAAAUAGCUCAGCUCUCAGCAUAAGGGCUGAUUUUUGGAGGGUUAAUAGGUCAAAAAAAUCUAUUACUGAGAUUUACAAAAAGAAAUAUUUUUGUUGUCUUUAGUCUGCUUCCACUGCCUGCGUAGAGUGAAUUUUUUCCUUCUCAAUUUUCAUGGGAUCAAAGGCAGGUCAGUACUGAGCAUCUGGAGAUCUUGUCCAGUAUCACUGAAAGAUGAAAGCAUUUGGUAAAUAAAUUGUUAAGUGUCUGUUUUUACCGAAGUAUUAACAAGAGUACUGCCCCUAGCAUGAAUCUUACUGACACAAAAGGCUCCUUAGCUAUUAAUAUGAGUUGUCUGGCUGGCUGUGGAAGAGAGGGGGAAUUUGCUGUAGUUCACACACCUCAUCUGUUGCAAACCCCACAACAACUCAAGUACUAUUUUUUGGCAUGGCUAUUCUCACUUUAGGCUUGCCUAGCUCGAGAGGCGAGUAGGCAAUGUGAGCUAAUUCUGGAACAGAUGUAUAACAUGAGAUGGCUAACUUUACUGAAUUACUUUACAGUACAGCAUCCUAAAUAAUAGCUCUUGUUGCAUGAGCCCAGCUUUACACAUAUUUAUUUAAAAUACUAGAGCGAGCAGACCCCUCUGCACAGGACAAUAUUAAGAGUUUGCGAGGCACAUGUAGUUGAGAGUCACGAAUAAAGAAGUGGUAAAAGUAAUUAAGGUAUUAUCUCUAUGGUAUCUGACCUUACGCUUAGAAGGGCAGAGUUUGUAUGGCUGCUGGAAUUUUUGUAGAUGACCAUAAACAGUGACUGUUGACUGGGUUAACAUGCUGCCUUGUCUUUUGCUGUCUGUUACUGAUGACCAAAAAUGGUUUGCAAUUGUGGAAUGUUGUGGUAUAUACAGUCCUGGAGCUCAGAAGCUUUAGAUGCGCUGGUAACGAUUGAAUCAGUGAGUUAAUGAGUCUGUGAGAUCUGGCAUUGGCAUCCCUUAGUUCACAGCAGUCAGUAAUAUAUAGACUCAGUGUGUAUACAUGCCGAAGCUUAAUUUGCAAUCCUAUUUAGAGUGGAAAAAAAUGCCACACUUAAAAAAAAAAAAAUUGCAAACAGGGUUCUUUUCACAGUGGACAGAGAACACUGUUAAACAGAGGAAGCACAAUAUCCCUUUUCAUAGCAAGAGAUCAAAUGUCUGCAGAAGAGUUUAAUUUAUACUUCUUCAUGUGCCAGAGCUGUGUCUGAGACAUUGCAGCAUUUCAGUUCCUUCAAUCAGGUCAUAGUUUCCAGCACAGAUGAUUUCAUCCCUUUUAAAAUAGAACAAAUAGAAUAAAUGGAAUUCCACAUAAUCAUGGUAGGAGCUGGGAUUAUAGGAAAUUAAAACACAUAUUUAAAAGCAGAGGUCUGUGCGGUAAAUAAUCAUGACACAGAGUUUGGAAAGCAGUGCUUGGUCUCUUCUCAGCAGUUAAUGGGCAACCGGGGUCUUUGGCUCAGCAGCUUUCUGUAACAUGGGGGACGUGGGUGUUUCCUAGAGGAGGAUGACGAAUGAGAGUGAUGGUGGAUAAUGUGCAGUAUCACAUUUUUAAAAGUUGCUCCCUUUCCAGAAGAUAUAUUAAAAUAAUGCCACGUGACUCUAACGUAACAUGGACAAACACUGGCUGGUGUGAAUUGGGUAUGGGCUCUAUAGUCCGUGCACUGCCACGUGGGGAGCACUGUUUUCAUUGCUUUCCCUAGUUAGGUCCUCUGUUCCUUAGCUGCUACAGAAUAUUUCACAUCUCCCUGCCACGGCUCUGCGUUGGCAGUCGGAGAAAAGGUGUUGAUGAAUUCUGUCUCAAAUUUCUGCCUGUCUGAAGAACGCCCUUAUGAAGUACCAGCAUAUAUUAUACUGAUAUCCCCCAAACAGAGAGGUAUCUGACUGCAACUUGGAGUGCUUUGAACUGGUGCUGUAAGACAAGUGGUUUGUGUAUUUAUUACAACAGGAGAAAAUGAAACUAGAAACAUGUUUUCCUUAAUUAUAGAAUUUGCCCAACACUGCUUUCGUUGUGAUCUAUGUUUGGCAUAAAAAAAGAGCUAUCAGUAACUUAUUUGUAAUAUGAAAAAAUUGCAUCAGAGCUAUUUUAUUAGGCAACAUACAAACACACAGUGAAGAUGGUCCUUGACCCUAAAGGACUGUUUUGUCUAUGUGAGUGAAUGAGACACUCAGCUAUUACAUGUAUUAUCUCCAGUCACAGAAGAAUUCAGUAGCAAGGCUGGGAAUCAUAUUCUAUUUUCUUAAGUCAUAACCCCAUGCCUUUAAAGAUAGGAUCACUCCUGUCACAUAUGUUUUAUGCAUGUGUGUACGAUAAACGUAAAUACAUUCACUUUUGUCUAGUAUAACAUUCAGGCAGGACUGAGAGUCUGUAUCUUGCAUAUUUAUAUCUUUUUUGCAUCAUGUCUCACUGUGGUAAAGAUUACACUGACAGACUAAUUCUGUUUGGGAAGGUUUCUGCUUAAAAGCAAGUAAAAGUCUGAAAGGAAAGGCAAAUUCAUCACUGGUGAGUUGGCUGAAUCCAGUCACAUGCUAUAUAAUAUAACUUAUCCUUAGGAAUUCAUGCCUCCAAUGGGCCUGCCUACCAGAUAAGCUACAAGAUGAAAGUGAGUUGCACAAGAUUCUGUUGCCCAGAGCACGCAGUUCAGUCUCUGUUACUCCUCUGUUCAACCAGAUGCUAUACAAGAAACGACAUUCUCUCUCUUUCAAAAAGGAGUUAAUCGAGGGGAGAUACGCAGGUAAAAGUCUUAUGCAUGCCACUCUGCUAAUGCUGCUGAACAUUUCAAAAGUAUACUUUGAAGUUAUUUGUGUUGUCUCAGCUUCUCUAAAAGUUUACCCUGGAUUCCUUUAGUCGUGGGAAAUAGAACUCUCUUGCUUGAUUUUGGUGAAUGCAGCCUUCAAAAAUCACAGCAAACACAAGGCACUGGUUUGCUUUUAUAGUUCCAAGUUGAUGAAAAGACUUUUAAUGUAUUCUUGUAGGUGUAAUCAUGUGUCAUAAAUAUACCCACCAACAAGAGACAAACCCUAACUCAAAAAUAACUGUUAAUUGAUUAC
rnacentral:lncRNA from 1 species